rfam:Danio rerio chromosome 25 genomic contig CTG2378, GRCz11 reference primary assembly.
CCAAAGGCUCUUUUCAGAGCCACCUCAAUUAUACAUUAACAAGACU